UUACGGCCAUAUAUCGUUGAAACACCUAUUUCCGUACAAUCACUGAAGUUAAGCAACGUCACGCUUGGUCAGUAGCUAGAUGGGCGGCCGCUUGGGAAUAGCAGGUGCUGUAAG